ensembl:lncRNA
AUCCACUUUUCCAGAACCUUCUGUCUGACCGCAGAAAACUGAGCGUGGAGAUUUGUGUGCACACUUGUUCCAUCUAUAAUUGCCUCCUGCUGUAACCCCACGUUGUGCUGUCUCAUCUCUCUCCUUCCCUGUUUUGGAAAAUCCAUGCUGAUGUGAAGUGAGGCAGAACGAGGGAGUCGGGAGGGAAAAGAGAGGUGGGAAAGGAAAGGCUUAACCGGCGAAGACAGAAGAUCUUCAGAGCCUUCAGCUGCACACAGAAACCUCUCUACGCUGCACCGCUUCUACGUUUUUGUGUCGGCGAGUCGAGCCAAACUGCUGGAGAGCGAUGAGGCCGAGCCGAGGGUCGCCGUGGGGACACGAACCCACACCGAGAGGCUGAACACGAAACAGACCCAGGACCAGCCAACUCACAGGAGUCACUAUCUGCAGAACAUUCAAUCAGAACCAGAGACACGGGGAGGACCAACGCUGCUUUGGUAAAAUAUCUAAUCUUUAACUGAAGGAUUAAACAGGAAGAGGCUCCACCUGGUGGAACAACCAGGAACUACAGCUGAUCUACAUUUACUGACAUGCACGACC